rnacentral:rRNA from 1 species
UACGUAGGUGGCAAGCGUUGUCCGGAUUUAUUGGGUUUAAAGGGUGCGUAGGCGGCCUUAUAAGUCAGUGCUGAAAUAUCCCGGCUUAACCGGGAGGGUGGCAUUGAUACUGUAGGGCUUGAGUGUAGUCGAGGUAGGCGGAAUUGACGGUGUAGCGGUGAAAUGCUUAGAUAUCGUCAAGAACACCGAUAGUGUAGACAGCUUACUAGGCUACAACUGACGCUGAGGCACGAAAGCGUGGGGAGCGAACAGG